GAGCCAUGAGGAUAACUGCGCAACCUGUGAUGCUAGGGCGCAUCACGACCGUCAGAUUAUUCCGACGAAACUGCGCUUCUGAGCUC